GCCAGACUCCUACGGGAGGCAGCAGUGGGGGAUAUUGCACAAUGGGGGGAACCCUGAUGCAGCGACGCCGCGUGAGCGAAGAAGUACCUCGGUAUGUAAAGCUCUAUCAGCAGGGAAGAAGAUGACGGUACCUGACCAAGAAGCUCCGGCUAAAUACGUGCCAGCAGCCGCGGUAAUACGUAUGGAGCAAGCGUUAUCCGGAUUUACUGGGUGUAAAGGGGGCGCAGACGGCAGCGCAAGCCAGGAGUGAAAGCCCGGGGCCCAACCCCGGGACUGCUCUUGGAACUGCGCGGCUGGAGUGCAGGAGGGGCAGGCGGAAUUCCUGGUGUAGCGGUGAAAUGCGUAGAUAUCAGGAGGAACACCGGUGGCGAAGGCGGCCUGCUGGACUGCGACUGACGUUGAGGCCCGAAAGCGUGGGGAGCAAACAGGAUUAGAUACCCGCGUAC
rnacentral:rRNA from 1 species